AGGAAUAGAUCAUAUAUCUGGCAACCCACACCCGACAACAAGCUUAAAAUUCAGGAUUGGGCCUCGAUUGCAAAUAUGUAAGGUCCUUCACUUUGACAAGAACCUGAUAACAAAUACACUAGAAAACUACCAGAAACAUGGAAGAUUGGGGAUAGGCCCCCUAACAAACACAUAUGGGGCCCCAAAUUUUAAGAGCUUCUUUUUCGAUGAUUGAGGACCUCCUGAAUAAAAUCUGAGCUCCAAGUUUGGUUUCUCAUAAAUGGACGGCCAAUAAGAGAACAUGAUUAAAGCAAGUUGAAACAGAAGCAAGCAUAGGUAGCUUGUCGAGACCAGAUCGAGCAAAAACUACUUGUCUCGAUCAUGGGGUGCCUUUUGAAGGAGUAUGGUGAAGACCUUGAAAUCUCCUUAUCUCAGUUUAACAUGGGUGAGGACCCUAACAUCACCACAUAUCCCCAUUUCCACCAUCAAUCACCCCAAGGCAUGACAUACCUUGCGCAUUCCCCAGACUCUGCGAGGCUAUCAACCAUGGGUGCAACCCUG
rnacentral:lncRNA from 1 species